rnacentral:lncRNA from 1 species
CAAGUUUGACUUUAAUCUCUAUUGUGGAUAAUCUCUGUAGUACUGUCUUUAGGUUUUAUCAAUAAAGAUUAUAAUUAUCAUUAUUAACUCAAAGCAAUAAUCAAGUCUACUCGCGCGGAACAGAUUGCUCAUUGAUAUUUUAAAAUCUUGUGUUGUGUACUGAGCAAUAUGCUGGACUUUUGAUUUUAAGUGACAAACAAUAGGAAUUGGGGAUAUGUUAUUGGCAAAAAAUAUGCUUGAAAGUCUGAUUAGAAGCAAAAAAAAAUUGUUUUGCAAUAGUCUGAUUAGAAGCAAAAAUGUGCAGUGUAAUAGGUGAAAC